AUGGUGGGCCAUCCUUAAAGACGUGUUCACACAACAAAAGUAAUUUAGGAUUUCAUUAAUGGGAGAAAAAUAGGUUUUAUUACUUUUGGAAAAUGAAAAGAUGGGAAUUGAACUUAAAAACAUAGGAAUUAUAUAUCAGAGAUUUUUUAAGAGUUGAAGUUAGGGCAUGAGAAGAAUUCUAAUGGGAAGACAUCUAGGUGCAUGCUAAUUUGACUUGGAACGUAGUUCCAUCUUGCGCCAGGUAAUGAUCCCCGACAUAGAGAAAUGGGUAAUGAUCCCCAUGGGAACGCAGCUUCCCGACCAUCGAUGGCGGCUGUCCGUGCCGAGAAACGAUAGAUUUUAUCGAAGGGCGAAGCAAGUAGAAGUUUCAUAGUUUAAAGAGUGCAUUAUCCUUGGCUUGUUUCCUAUGUAUUUGCUUGGAUGUUUCACCUGUGAUAGAUGUUGGAUACUUGAGCAUAUUUUUAUAUUCUUAGAAGUUUCUUUACUGACAUUUGAAAGUACUUAAGUAUGGAUGUUUUUCAUUUGAGAAUUAGAUUGAAAUAAAUGUUGAAAACGUUUUGUUUUAAUGUCA